rnacentral:rRNA from 1 species
AUGGGGGACGCCGCCGCCGCCACCCCGUCGGGCGACGCGAGGGACGACGGCGCCUCCUCCAUGAAGGACAUCGGCUCCUCCACCAACGCCAGCGCCAUCUCCUUCGGCUUCGCCGCCACCGCCAUCCUCAUCGCCAUGUUCCUCCUCAUGGCCAUCUUCGAGCACCUCAUCAAGCCCGGAUGGGCGGCCUCCCGGGGCUCCCGCGACGACGGCGACGGCGACGUCCACGGGCGCCGCGCCCAGCCGCCGCACUCGCACCCCGGCAGGCACCCGCGCGACCACGGCUCGCCGGAGAAGCUCCCGCCUCCGCCCAAGAUGGAGGCCGUGGUGGCGGCGGCGGACCUGACGGUGGUGAUGCCGGGGCAGCGGUACCCGACGUUCCUGGCGCAACCGGCGCCCCUCCUGCUUCCUUGCACGAGAGAAGGCGUGCGUUGGCCGCCGCACCAUGACCAUCGCCGCCCCUUUCUGCCGCCAUGA